rnacentral:rRNA from 1 species
AACGAACGCUGGCGGUAUGCUUAACACAUGCAAGUCGAACGGGUUUAAUUCAAGCUUGCUUAAUUAAAUUAGUGGCAAACGGGUGAGUAAUGCAAAGGAAUCUACCUAGCAGUAUGGAAUAACUCUGGGAAACCAAAGCUAAUACCAUAUAUUACCGACUUAGUCGGGAAAGAUUUAUCGCUGUUAGAUGAGCCUUUGUCAGAUUAGCUUGUUGGUAGGGUAAUGGCCUACCAAGGCAAUGAUCUGUAGCUGGUCUGAGAGGAUGAUCAGCCACACUGGGACUGAGACACGGCCCAGACUCCUACGGGAGGCAGCAGUGGGGAAUAUUGGACAAUGGGCGCAAGCCUGAUCCAGCAAUACCGCGUGAAUGAUGAAGGCUUUCGGGUUGUAAAAUUCUUUUAGUAGGGAAGAUAAUGACGGUACCUACAGAAAAAGCACCGGCUAACUUCG